rnacentral:rRNA from 1 species
UGGGGAAUAUUGCACAAUGGGCGCAAGCCUGAUGCAGCCAUGCCGCGUGUGUGAAGAAGGCCUUCGGGUUGUAAAGCACUUUCAGCGGGGAGGAAGGCGUUAAGGUUAAUAACCUUGUCGAUUGACGUUACCCGCAGAAGAAGCACCGGCUAACUCCGUGCCAGCAGCCGCGGUAAUACGGAGGGUGCAAGCGUUAAUCGGAAUUACUGGGCGUAAAGCGCACGCAGGCGGUCUGUCAAGUCGGAUGUGAAAUCCCCGGGCUCAACCUGGGAACUGCAUUCGAAACUGGCAGGCUAGAGUCUUGUAGAGGGGGGUAGAAUUCCAGGUGGAGCGGUGAAAUGCGUAGAGAUCUGGAGGAAUACCGGUGGCGAAGGCGGCCCCCUGGACAAAGACUGACGCUCAGGUGCGAAAGCGUGGGGAGCAAACAGG